UACAGGAGAGACAAACGUUAUUCGUCGUUAUUGGGUGUAAAGGGUAUGUAGAUGGUUUUUCAUGUUAAAUUUAUUAAAAAAAAAAAUAUAAUUUUUUUGUAAGUAAAUUAAUAGUAUAAACUAGAGUUACUUAAAAAAUAAUAAAAUUUCUAAUGUAAAGUUAAAAAUUGUAGAUAUUAGGAGGAAGUCCAUAAACGAAUGUAAUUAUUUAAAGGUAACUGACAUUAAUGAUACGUAGGUUAGGGGAGCAAACAAG
rnacentral:rRNA from 1 species